AUGAUGCUGGGCUCACUGUCGGAGGACUUGCUGAUGCAGGUAGCGACGAAGCCAACCGCAAAGGAGGUAUGGGACUCCCUCAAGGUUUGCUUUGUCGGCGCCGAUCGGGUGCGGGCAGCGAGGCUUGGGGCGCUGCGCGGCAAGUUCGAUCGCCUACGGAUGGACGACGGCGACGAGCUGGACGAGUACGCCGGGAAGGUCAGCGGCAUGGCGGCGAGGUACGCGAUGCUCGGGUCGACGCUCGACGACAGCGCCGUGGUGAAGAAGCUACUCGACACCGUGCCGGACCGGCUGUAUGCCGCGGUCGUCGGCAUAGAGCAGUUCUGCAACGUGGAGGAGAUGGCGUACGAGGAGGCGCUCGGACGGCUCAAGGCGUUCGAGGAAAGGACGCGGCGGCGCGCACGGGCCGGCGGCGAGCACGCGGACGGGCAGCUGAUGAUGACGGCGGCACAGUGGGCGGCUCGGGAGCGACGGCGAGGCGGACGCGGCUUCGGCGACCAAGACGGCGACGGCGCAGCGAGCACAUCGUCGGGCAACGGCGAGCACAAACGCGGGGAGCAUGGGCACUUCUGGCGCGAGUGCCCGCAGCUGCGGAAAGGACCGGCGGCGGAGCAGGCUCUCCUGGCCGACGCCAACGUCGACCACGACAGACUCCUCUAG
rnacentral:rRNA from 1 species